AUUCUGUGGUUUUUCUUGAAAACGUGUAAGUUUUUCGCCUUUUACUAAAGAUUUCGGUGGACAGGAACAAUUCCGAGUGACGCAUCAAUUUUUGGGGCCCUUGUCUUUACAAGGCU